UACGUAGGGGGCAAGCGUUAUCCGGAUUUACUGGGUGUAAAGGGAGCGUAGACGGAGGAGCAAGUCUGAAGUGAAAGCCCGCGGCUCAACUGCGGGACUGCUUUGGAAACUGUUCAUCUAGAGUGUCGGAGAGGUAAGUGGAAUUCCUAGUGUAGCGGUGAAAUGCGUAGAUAUUAGGAGGAACACCAGUGGCGAAGGCGGCUUACUGGACGAUGACUGACGUUGAGGCUCGAAAGCGUGGGGAGCAAACAGG
rnacentral:rRNA from 1 species